UUAAGAGCAGAGCAGCGUCACUCGCGAAGGCUGAGGGAGGACGGCUACAAGAGGGUGAGCAGCAUGACUACAGAGGAGACAUGUCAAAGCAUAACACUUCUCUGCCCUUCUGAAAUGAAACAUGCUGAAUACCUUGAUUCUGGGGGAAAUAAGACCAAACUGCAUCCUGCAGGAGGUUUUCAUCACUGCUUUCUUGGUGCUACAUGAGCACAGAGUUUAACCAAAACCAGAACCUCUCUAAAUGUUGUUGAAGAAUAGAUGAAUGAGUGAAGAAAUUAUAUGCCAGCUCAAACAACAGGAUGAAAUAUAUUGAUUACAGCCUGUUUUCUUCCUUUCAUUCAUUUAGUCACAAAAUAAAUACUCAGGCUCUGAUCUAAGUGUUGAAAGUAAAGC